rnacentral:tRNA from 956 species
GGCUAUGUAGCUCAGUUGGUUAGAGCACCGCACUCAUAAUGCGGGGGUCACAAGUUCAAGUCUCGUCAUAGCCACCA